CGCCCCGCCGCGCCCGGGUGCCGCUUGCCGCACCCCCGAGCCUGAGCCCGUCUACCUCGUGGCUGCCUGAGGCCCGGGGUGGUUAUGAAGAUAAAAUGCAAUAAAUGUGUGUGAGGGCAACUGACGAGCCAGGAAGCCUUGGCAUCCAGAGUUAUUACUGGGACGUCAUGGGAAAUGAGGAUAUGGGAACAGAGUAUUUAUGCAUUUAUUCAAACUCAUCUCUAACAACCGUGCUUUGAAGGCUGGCUGCAUCCCAGGCCCUACAGAUCUAGGCUGGCUGGGGCGGUGGCUCAUGCCUGUAAUCCCAGCACUUUGAGAGGCCGAGACCGGUGGAUCACGAGAUCAUCAGGAGAUGAGACCAUCCUGGCUAACAUGUUAGCCUGGCCUCCAGAGCUCUUGGACUGCAGCACCCAUAAUGAUGGCCAAAGCCGCCCCCACGGCGACUCCUCCUGCUGAAGCAAAGUCAGGCAGAACAAUAAGAUGAGCAUGGUGGUGCAGGCCUGUAAUCUCAGCUCCUCAGGCGGGAGGAUCACUUGAUCCCCGGAAGUUUGAAGCUGGACUGCGCUGACCGCACCUGUGAAUACCACUGCCCGUCAAUCAGCCUAGGGGAAACAUUCUCGAGUGCGAGCAUGACGGCUUAGGUUGAUGUUUUUCAAAUUUUCCCAAUGAUGAGUAUUGUAAGGGACCAAAAUAAAAAAAUGCCAAUGCCUAGUCCCCUCUCAUCUAGAAUAAUUCCAUAGGUGAUGAUGGGGUCCAGGACUCUGAAUUUCGUCAAUUUUACCAAAUACUUCGUCCAGUGAGGCAAAUAUGGAAACACUUGGAUCACCUCUUCGUGAACGCACAUCAGCGCAUACGCCGGCUGUUUUUAUCAGGCGCUCACCCCUCAUCCAAUGGCGUGACUAGUUGUGGGUGGAGCCCGAAAUCUGGCUGCCUAGAGAAGGCUGAAGGUCCAGUUAUAGCAUAACUAAUGUUUCCCCAGAGCUCACAUACGUGCCAAGCACCGUGCUACAGCCUCCACAGCCCCUUCAUUUAAUCUUCCCGAUGGGCCUAUGAAAUAGGUGCUCCUGGCCCGCACCGUGGCUCAUGCCUCUAAUCCCAGCACUUUGGGAAGCUGAGGAGGGAGGGUCGCUUGAGUCCAGGAUUUCAAGACCAGCCUGGGAAACACACAGAGAGCCUAUCUCUACGAAAAUUUAAAAAAUUAGCCGGGUGUGGUGAUGCCUGACUGUGGUCCCACCUACUUAGUAGGCUAAGGUGGGAGGAUCCUCUGAGCCCGGGAAGCUGAGGCUGCAGUUAGCACUGCACUCCAGCAUGGGCGACAGAGUGAGACCCUGACUCAAAAAAAAAAAAAAAAAAGAAUAGGUGCUACUUGUAGUUCCCAUUUUACCCACCAAGAAACUGAAGAUCUGAGAGACAAAGCCUACAGGGUGACCGCUAGUCACUGGUAGGGCUGGGAUUUGAACAGGGGCGGUUUAACAACUGAUCUCUCGACCAUAAUGCGUGUUGCCCAAGAAAAAAGACCGUCCUCACGGUCCUAUCCACUCCGGACUUUGCAAUUCCGUUAUUUCGUAAAUUGAGGCCUAUAAAUAGUUUGCUUACCCGUUGUCUUAGUCCCCAGUAACAUGCAGAACUAAAGAAGAAACUGAAGGAGCACCGAUUUUGUUCACCUUGCUUUUUGGUUUAGUUCUGGAGGAGAACACAGGUGCACUUAGAACAGGAUCCACACUUACCAGAGGCUUGAUUCAUUUUAGCUGCAAAGAAAACCAGUCCUCGUCUAC
rnacentral:lncRNA from 10 species